UACGUAGGUGGCAAGCGUUGUCCGGAUUUAUUGGGCGUAAAGAGCUCGUAGGCGGUGUGUCGCGUCGGCCGUGAAAACCUGCAGCUUAACUGUGGGCUUGCGGUCGAUACGGGCAUCACUGGAGUUCGGCAGGGGAGACUGGAAUUCCUGGUGUAGCGGUGAAAUGCGCAGAUAUCAGGAGGAACACCGGUGGCGAAGGCGGGUCUCUGGGCCGAUACUGACGCUGAGGAGCGAAAGCGUGGGGAGCGAACAGG
rnacentral:rRNA from 1 species